rnacentral:misc_RNA from 1 species
GAUGAAGAACGUAGCGAAAUGCGAUAAGUAAUGUGAAUUGCAGAAUUCAGUGAAUCAUCGAAUCUUUGAACGCACAUUGCGCCCGCCAGUAUUCUGGCGGGCAUGCCUGUUCGAGCGUCAUUACAACCCUCAGGCCCCCGGGCUUGGCGUUGGGGAUCGGCGGAGCCCCCCGUGGGCACACGCCGUCCCCCAAAUGCAGUGGCGGUCCCGCCGCAGCUUCCAUCGCGUAGUAGCUAACACCUCGCGACUGGAGAGCGGCGCGGCCACGCCGUAAAACACCCAACUCUUCUGAAGUUGACCUCGAAUCAGGUAGGAAUACCCGCUGAACUUAAGCAUAUCAAUAAGCGGAGGA